GAUUUCGAGAGCUAGUCUAUUGGGGUUCUAAAAUGGAAGAGCGACUAGAAGGAUUGUGGCGCAAGCUAUCUUAGAUUAGGAUCAUUUAAGUUGAACUGUUAUCUUAGACAUUUAUUAUGAUUGUUAGAUAUUGCAAGGUUUUGUUAUUUUAAGAACUAAGUUUUGCAUGUUGGUAAACUAUUGUUCCGUUGCGUAUUUAGAACUGUGAGACUUUAUGACUUGAGUUAGUAAAUGGA
rnacentral:lncRNA from 1 species